GCCCUUGUAUUUCAAUGGUAGAAUGCGUGACUUCUAUUCUUAUUAUAAGAGUUAUCUCGAGGCUGUGGGUUCGAGCCCCACCAAGGGCU